rnacentral:rRNA from 2 species
GGGUUGUGAGGUUAAGCGACUAAGCGUACACGGUGGAUGCCCUGGCAGUCAGAGGCGAUGAAGGACGUGCUAAUCUGCGAUAAGCGUCGGUAAGGUGAUAUGAACCGUUAUAACCGGCGAUUUCCGAAUGGGGAAACCCAGUGUGUUUCGACACACUAUCAUUAACUGAAUCCAUAGGUUAAUGAGGCGAACCGGGGGAACUGAAACAUCUAAGUACCCCGAGGAAAAGAAAUCAACCGAGAUUCCCCCAGUAGCGGCGAGCGAACGGGGAGCAGCCCAGAGCCUGAAUCAGUGUGUGUGUUAGUGGAAGCGUCUGGAAAGGCGCGCGAUACAGGGUGACAGCCCCGUACACAAAAAUGCACAUGCUGUGAGCUCGAUGAGUAGG